AGAGAUUAUGUACUGAAAUGGAAAAAAACUACUUUACCGAAACUAUGAGAUUUAUAUUUAAAUCGAUGGAGGAGCGUUCUAUAUUUAAGAAGUAAAAAUGUACCAUUUUUAUGGAAAAAAUAGAAGUGAAAAUGUCAGCUUAAGUAGCAUAAAUAUUAGUAAAAUCUAAUACUCCGAACGCUUAAAAGUUUUCUACGAAAGGAUAUACCACGUAGAUAAAGUCGGGGCCUAAAAUUAGAUUAAAUAUGUAAUUGAUGGGUAAUAAGGUUAAACUUCCUUUACUGUAAAUAUAUAUAACAAAUAGUGACCUAUAAUUUUUAUUAUAUUUUUAUAAUAUAGUUUUUAAUAUAUAAAUAAAAAUAUAUAGCUGGAAAAAUGUAUAUGUUAAAAUAUAUUAUCACCCGUACUAAAACUGACCCAAGUAAGCAAGUAUAAAUAUACUAAGGAGUNCGAAAUAACUUUUUCUAAGGAACUCGGCAAAAUAAUCCUGUAACUUCGGGAAAAAGGAUGUCCAAAGGACUGCAAUAAAGAGAUCCNAGCGACUGUUUAUCAAAAACACAAGUCUCCGCUAAGUGUAAUUACAAUGUAAGGGGGCUGACACCUGCCCAGUGCUGGUAAGUUAAAAAAAAUAUUGAUAAUUAUAAUAUUUUUAUAAGCUCCAGUAAACGGCGGCUGUAACUAUAACGGUCCAAAGGUAGCGAAAUUCCUUGUCGGGUAAGUUCCGACCUGCACGAAAGGUGUAACGACUUGGAUGCUGUCUUGGAAAAAGAUUCGGCGAAAUAGAAAUGUCUGUGAAGAUACGGACUAUUUACACCUGGACAGAAAGACCCUAUGAAGCUUUACUAUAUUUUGAAAUUAAAAAUAAAAUAUAUUUGUGUAGAAUAAGUGGGAAAUAAUUAUUUUAUUUAUCUUGAAAUACCACUCUUAUUUAUUUUAUUUUUUUAUUAUAAUAUUGUUAACCAAUUAUAAAAAAAUUUUAAAAAGGUAGUUUGACUGGGGCGGUAGCCUCCUAAAAGGCAACGGAGGUGUACAAAGGUCUUUUUUCUAAUUUAAAUAUUUACUUUAAAAUUAAAUCUAUAAAGGGAUAAAAAGGCUUGAUUGUAAGAGUUACUACUCGAGCAAGGACGAAAGUCGGUCUUAAUGAUCCGAUAGUUC
rnacentral:rRNA from 1 species